AGUUGUCUUCCAGUUUUCAGCUGAGAUGGAGUUUUGCCCAGGGCUCUGCCUUACUGCAUCCCCCAAAUCCUUCCUCUGCCUCACUUUCAGUUUCCCAAUUUCCACUCAUCACCCAGGAGCCAAACCGAUUGCCAUGAGCCAGACUCACCUCCUCCCAGAAGUUUUCCCAGUCUUCCAGGAGAUUCUGAGAAAUGGAGUCCUUCAGAUCUUGGGAAAUGCUGUUAUCAGGAAGGUGGAAGUGAAAGGAAAUGCUUGAAAUCCCUAACCAGAGGCACUGGAUUGUAAACUCCUUGAGAGUUUUCUCGACGACAGGCCAAGGAGAGAACCCACCGUGGCGUUGCAGAUGGGAUCUUCAGACUGGGAGCCCGUUAUUGGGAAGGGAUUGUCUCUGUUGCCAAACUGUACAUUCCAAGAGCUUAGUACAAUGCUCUGCACAUAGUAAAUGCUCAAUAAAUACAACCGAAUGA